ACUUGCUUAGUAUAAUAAGUAUGAUUGCCUUCCAAGCAGCAGGUUUAACAUGGGUUAAAGUGAGUA
rnacentral:tRNA from 1 species